CUGAGACAAGAGUUUCACUCUUGUUGCCCAAGCUGGAGUGCAAUGGUGCAAUCUCGGCUCACUGCAACCUCCAACUCCCGGGUUCAAGCGAUUCUCUCACGUCAGCCUCCCGAGUAGCUGGGAUUACAGGCACCUGCCACCAUGCCCAGCUAAUUUUUGUAUUUUCAGUAGAGACGGGGUUUCACCAUGUUGGCCAGUCUGGUCUUGAAGCCCUGACCUCAGGUGAUCCACCUGCCUCAGCCUCCCAAAUUGCUGGGAUUACAGGCGUGAGCCAAUGUGCCCAGCCAGUUGCAUAUUCUUGACCCAAACACAGACAGUUCCCCCAAGUUCAAAACCACAACGAGCAGCCCACACGAAGGCAUACUCUGAGGGUUGUUUCACUGUUACAGCAGUACAUAUUUCGAAGAGACAACAGAUUCCAUUUCAGAUGCUUCUCAAGAAAGAAAAAGUUCUUUGACAGAAUCUCUACUCCAGGUCUCUCUCUCUCUUUUUUUUUUUUUUUUUUUUUUUUUGAGAUGGAGUCUCGCUCUGUCUCCCAGGCCAGAGUACAGUGGCACGAUCUCGGCUCACUGCAACCUCCGCCUCCUGGGUUCACGCCAUUCUCCUGCCUCAGCCUCCCGAGUAGCUGGGACUACAAGUGCCCGCCACCACGCCCGGCUAAUUUUUUGUAUUUUUAGUAGAGAUGGAGUUUCACCAUGUUAGCCAGGAUGUAACUGUAAUUUCCUUAUGAAGAAAACUAAAGCUAUGAUGUACUAUAAAACAUAUAGCAUUUCAAGGCAGCCAAUUAUCCAAAACAUAUUAACUGGUAAAUUAAAUAUACCUGUUGGUUAUCUUGUUUGGAACAGGAGGGAGGCUAUUAUUAGGUAGAGAGUAAGCACCAUGUCACUUUACAUAGUCCAUUUAUAUCCACAUGAUGGCAGACUGCUCUUUGACAAUGAAGAAGCAUAGAAUUUAUUUGUUUUACUUUGGUAAACUGACUUUGGCUAUCAACAGACUUAAUGUCCAAGUCUUAUAACAUUUUUCAAAUAUGUUUAAAAUUUAGUUUUUCCAAAAAAUCAAAGCACUGUACACUAAAAAUAGAAUAUAAGGCAGUGAAAUCAAAUCCUGGCUCACUUGAAGAAAUAACAGUCUGUGGGCAACUGGUUGUUUCUCAGGUCACCUCAGGGGACAGAUGGUCCCUAAGGUGCAAAAGAAUGAACUGGUGCUGAUAUAUGACUGAUAAGUUUCUGUAACGGGCCACUGACCAUUUCAAUUCCCAAGGAACAUAAAUUACCUUUUAGCCUGUGUAUUUACACACAAAUAUGCAACCUGCAAACUUCUUCUGAGGACAGAUGUCAACUACUUUUUCAUUUUUUUUUUUUUACAGUCAAAGUAGUAAACUUGCAGAUAUAUCUAAAACCAAUUUUCAAACCAGCUUCAUAACAUAUGCUGUAAGUAAAUAAAUACCAAAACCUGAUAACACUAGCAUGGAGAAAAGAAAAGCUGAAUUAAAAAGACAUUCCUUUAC
rnacentral:lncRNA from 1 species